rnacentral:rRNA from 1 species
GCUUGUCUCAAAGAUUAAGCCAUGCAUGUCUAAGUGUAAAUACGUCUACACUGUGAAACUGCGAAUGGCUCAUUAAAUCAGUUAUCGUUUAUUUGAUGAUCUCUUGUUACAUGGAUAACCGUAGUAAUUCUAGAGCUAAUACAUGCGUAAAAUCCUAACUAGUUUACUGGGAGGGAUGUAUAUAUUAGAAAUAAACCAAUCGGUGCUUGCACUGUAUUGUGGUGAGUCAUAAUAUCUAAGCGGACCGCAGUUCCUUUUUGGAUGCGGUGAAUCAUUCAAGUUUCUGCCCUAUCAGCUUUCGAUGGUAGUGUAUUGGACUACCAUGGCGGUAACGGGUAACGAAGAAUAAGGGUUCGGUUUCGGAGAGGGAGCCUGAGAGAUGGCUACCACAUCCAAGGAAGGCAGCAGG